rnacentral:rRNA from 1 species
AACGAACGCUGGCGGCAGGCCUAACACAUGCAAGUCGAACGCACCGCAAGGUGAGUGGCGCACGGGUGAGUAACACGUGGGAAUGUACCCUUUGGUUCGGAAUAACGUCUGGAAACGGACGCUAAUACCGGAUGAGCCCUGCGGGGGAAAGAUUUAUCGCCAAAGGAGCAGCCCGCGUCUGAUUAGCUAGUUGGUGGGGUAAAGGCCUACCAAGGCGACGAUCAGUAGCUGGUCUGAGAGGAUGAUCAGCCACACUGGGACUGAGACACGGCCCAGACUCCUACGGGAGGCAGCAGUGGGGAAUAUUGGACAAUGGGCGAAAGCCUGAUCCAGCCAUGCCGCGUGAGUGAUGAAGGCCUUCGGGUUGUAAAGCUCUUUCGCACGCGACGAUGAUGACGGUAGCGUGAGAAGAAGCCCCGGCUAACUUCGUGCCAGCAGCCGCAGUAACAC